rnacentral:rRNA from 1 species
UACGAAGGGGGCUAGCGUUGCUCGGAAUCACUGGGCGUAAAGGGUGCGUAGGCGGGUCUUUAAGUCAGGGGUGAAAUCCUCCGGCUCAACCGGAGAACGGCCUCGGAUACUGGCGACCUUGAGGCAGGUAGGGGCAAGCGGAACUGUGGGUGGAGCGGUGAAAUGCGUUGAUAUCCACAGGAACUCCGGUGGCGAAGGCGGCUUGCUGGACCUGUUCUGACGCUGAGGCGCGAAAGCCAGGGGAGCGAACGGG